rnacentral:lncRNA from 1 species
CCAACUAAAAACCACCUACAAUGAAUCGGAUAAAAAACUCCACAAAAAAAAAACCAAGGCGACGCUACCAAUUUGUGUAGCACCAUGUCGCUGCGCAUAGCGUUGCUGUCCGUAGAAAGGUUCCGUCAUCGAAUGAUGGGUGGUUUCAACGCCGAAUGAGGUGUGGGGUGCAACGUUAGACUAGUUGAGGUAGGUAGAGAGAGUGAGAAGAGAGAAAGCGAG